CCAGUUCAUACCCAGAGAAAGCUACAGUUGAUGUGGGAUCUACUUGUCAAAAGUUAAAGAAACUCUUGAUGAACAGAAUCACCAAAAUGAACACAUUUUUAUGGAAUCGUUUUUUUUUUUGAGAGAGUAUCACGGACCUUUCAAGCUUUACUAGAUAAACUGGGCAGAGCUUGCCAAAAGCAGAACCUGGUAGCUGCAGAAUAUGUACAGUCUCCUCAGAAUUGUACCUAUUAAGGGAAUUUAACUUUAGUGGGUUAUAGAAUUCAGAGAUUUUCCAGAGACUUUUGUUCACACAGGUUUUGCUCAACCUUCUAUAAAAGAGGUUGGGAAUUCCUGAUCAAUGUGAUAGUUUCUCCCAAUCAAUUUGAUGAGAUUAUAGAGCAUUUGUUUGGAGGUAUAUAAGGGCACCUGUCUAUGGGUUAUGGACAUGGGAACAUUUGACUGGCUGAUAUGAAUUAAGGAGAGGAACUGCUCAUCUCCAUGGUCUCUAAAAGCAAGAUGGUAGAACAGUUCAUUCUCUUUUUUGGAAUCCUUCACCUUUUCCUUUGAGACUUUCUUUCAGGGUAUAGCAAAGACGGUGUGAUAGUAGGGAAAUAGGAGACUUUUUUUUCUCUACCUCCCCACCUAAGAAAUGGAAAGCUUCUGGGAGUUGCAUGUACUUUCAGGCUGUCUGAGAGCAACAAUCCCAAGACUGGGUUAUCCAAGCCAUUGAGAUGGAAGCAGUGGGUACAUUGAUAACUCUAGUGAAGAACAUGGAAGAAGCAUACUACAUCAGGAAAUCCCCUUCCUUCUCUGGUCUCAUCAUGGCUUAAAAAGGCAUCAAAUUACAGCAAAUUUCACCGAGUCCUACUGAAUUGAAAAAGCUUCCAGUAUCAGCCUGACAACGCACUUCCUGUCUGCCAUCUAAGGAUCAGAGGAAAAAAAAAACAGUGACUAAAGGCUCAUUACCAAAAGGUUGGCCAGUUUGUGGUGGGGGCACAAUAAUUCAUGAACAAUCAUUUACUAUGACAU
rnacentral:lncRNA from 1 species